UGAACAACCUGCCCGAGCGAGGGGGAUAGCCGGCCCAAUGGCCGGGUAAUACCGCAUAUGCUCACAGUGCCUUAUGGCGCAGUGAGGAAACCUUCGGGGCGCUCGGAGGGGUUCGCGACCUAUCAGCUAGUUGGUGUGGGUAAUGGCCCACCAAGGCUACGAUCAGUAGCUGGUCUGAGAGGAUGAUCAGCCACAGUUGGGACUGAGACCACCGGCCCAAACCUCUAGU
rnacentral:rRNA from 1 species